GUGAGCACCAUGGCCUGGACUCCUCUGCUCCUCGCGCUCCUCUCUCACUGCACAGGGUCCCUCUCCCAGCCGGUGCUGACUCAGCCGCCCUCCCUCUCUGCAUCUCUGGGAGCCACAGCCAGACUCACCUGCAUCCUGAGCAGUGACGUCAGUGUUGGUGACUACAGGAUAUACUGGUACCAGCAGAAGUCAGGGAGCCCUCCCCGGCUUCUCCUCUACUAUAAAUCAGACUCAGAGAAGUACCAGGGCUCCGGGGUCCCCAGCCGCUUCUCUGGAUCCAAAGACGCCUCGGCCAAUGCGGGGCUCCUGCUCAUCUCGGGGCUGCUGCCUGAGGACGAGGCCGACUAUUACUGUCUGAUCAGGCACAAUAGUGCUUCUCACAGUGACACACACAGAUGGGGAAGUGCGACAAAAACCUCGGCCUCCCCAGGAUCUUAUUUCACAGCAACUGAACCUGUUAACAUAACUCCCAAUUGCAAACUAUACAUGGAAGUACUUCUGGUUUAUAAUGUGUCACUUUCCAUUUUUUAUCCCAUGUACCUGAGCCAACACCCCAACCCAAUGGUCAUUAUGUCCCUGAAAGAAGGCCUGUCCCCCGUGGGUCAGAAGCCCAGGUCCCGGGCGAUGGCUGUUUCUGACGUGAAAUAA